rnacentral:misc_RNA from 1 species
AGAAGGUAGGGAAUCCAGAAAUGCCAGCUCCUAAAACUAAGAAAGAAGUUAGAGGCUUCUUAGGCAAGUUGUAGUAUAUCAGCCGAUUCAUAGCAAAGCUCACCACCACAUGUGAGCCCAUCUUCAAGUUAUUAAGAAAGGACCAGCCUGCCGCUUGGAGUGACAAGUGCCAAGGAUUAUUUUGAGAAUCCCUUUUCAUAAAACACAUCAAUAACUUUUUU